rnacentral:lncRNA from 1 species
AGUGCAAGAGGGGAGGCAUAAGAGGGUGAGAAAGUAGAUGGCGCAGCAGUAACCUCGUGGCUCUGCUCCCCAUCUCCUAUGUUAAUGGCACUGACAUCAUCAAGAGUUGGAAUAGUCUGAAAUGGUGAUCCCUCUAAAAAUUGAGACUGUUCCUCGGUGCACUGCGCGACCAUCUGCCCCUACAACUCAUUCAAUGUAGGCUCAGAAGAAGUAGAAGAUUUGGCAGGUGCCUUUUGUUGUUGUUGUUGCUUCUGAUUUUUCUGUUGUGGCUGCCUGUUAUUGUAGAUGUCGGUAGUAUAAGCUUGAGGCUCAUCAUGAGAAACAGGGUGCUCCAAAGAAGGACAUGCAUCUGUAUAGUGGUCACUAGAAGGACAUAUAGCACACAGUUGUGCAACAGAUGCAGAUGGAGGUGCUGGUCUCUGGUUGGAUGCUAGCUGUGUCACCAAACUCACAAGAGAAUCAAGUUUGCUUUCCAAUUUCCUACCAACAGUUGAUAAAGAAUGGGCAGGAUCAGGAAACUACAGCUAUUGUGGUUCCUGAACAGGUGGAGGCAUACAAGGAUUCGGAAAUGGUUGAUAUUGCUGUGGAGCAUCAUGCCAUCCCAAGCUAGGGUCAUUCCAUCCAGGAUCGUUACUGUGACCAUACUGAGCAGGGAAGAAUUUGUCAAAGAACGUAUGCCUAAGAUCUUCCCAAGAAGUGAUGGAUCUUGGAGGAGGACAAUACAGCCAACCCCUUGCUGCUUCUUGUAAUGAAUGCGGAAAUGCCCAUAAACACAUGUCU